GAAGAAGCAGCAGCAGCAUCAAGGGCACAGAGAAUCUCCGUAUUUUUCCCAAGGCUGAGCCAAAAUGGGGAGAAUCUACCUCAUUAAGAACAAAGCAGCAUUUAGACAGGAAACAGCACCACAUAAAUAAAAUAUGGCAUAGCUAUGCAAUGGAAUAUUAUUCAGCCAUGAAACGGAAUGAAGCACUGAUCCGUGCUGCAACGUGGAUGAACCCCAAAAACAUGAUGUUGAGUGAAAGAAGGCAGACACAAAAGACCACAUGGUGUAGGAUUCCAUUUAUGCAAAUUGUCCAGAGUAGGCAGAUCCAUAGAGAUGGAAAUCAGAGACGUCUGGGAAGUGUGGAUUAAGAAGAAUGCAGCCCAUGUCAGUGGGUUUAGACCAACAGACAAUUUUGGCUGGACACAGUGGCUCACGGCUGUAAUCCCAGCACUUUGAGAGGCCGAGGUGGGUGGAUCACCUGAGGUCAGGAGUUUGAGACCAGCCUGACCAACAUGGUGAAACCCGGUCUCUACUAAAUACAAAAAACUAGCCGGGCAUGGUGGUGCAUGCCUGUAAUCCCAGCUACUUGGGAAGCUGAAGCAAGAGAAUCACUUGAACCCAGGAAGCAGAGGUUGCAGUGAGCCAAGAUUGCACCACUGCGCUCCAGCCUGGGCAAGAAGAGCGAAACUCCAUCUCAAAAAAAAAAAAAAAAAAAAAAAAACCAGAUUGGGGGAUUUCUAUGUGGGUGAGUCCAGCCCGUAGUUCAGCAGCUGGGGAGCCACUAGGAUGGGAAGCAACUCAAAGCAAAGCUGGUGGGAUUUUCCCCAGGCCAGGAGGCCUCCAGGUCCGUCACCUACACUGGAGUGUAGAGAAGAAGCCAGCCCUGGGGUCCCUCGGCCUGGAGAACAAAAGGACUCAAUCCACCCUGCCAGCCUGGGACCCUGCCCAAGCUUCAUCUCCACAUCAGUAAAACCAGGCUAAUCCUUCAUACCUGGUGGGGAUUUUGUGAGCAUUAAAUGAGAUCGUGUUAAAAAGGAACAACAAGAAAAUAAUAUUUGCUUCUAAAACUGUUAUGGUUUGGCUGUUUGUCCCUGCUAAAAUUCAUGUUGAAAUUGAAUCCCCAGUAUGGCAGUACUGGGAGGUGGGACCUUUACAAGGUGACUGGGUCAUGACAGCCCUCAUGAAUGGACUGAUUCAUUUAUGGAUUAAUGAAUUAAUGGGCUAAUGGAUUAAGGGGUUGUUAUGGAAGUGGGACUGGUGGCCUUAUGAAAAGAGAAAGAUGAGCCGGGGGCAGUGACUCAUGCUUGUAAUCCCAGCACUUUUGAAAGCCAAGGCAGGAGGAUUGCUUGAGGACAGAAGUUUGAGACCAGCCUGGGCAACAUAGU
rnacentral:lncRNA from 1 species